rnacentral:lncRNA from 1 species
GCAUUACACGACAGAUGUCCUCAUGUGACCGUAUCAUGUCGUUUAAUCACUCUGGAGAGCGGUGAGACUGUACAGUUCGUCCCGAAACUCGUGCAACCCGAUCAAAAGUGGUCAAAAUCCGACCUCCCAGCAGGCCACCAGUUUCCUGAUGAUGUCCGGCGUUAUUAUUGCACAGAACCAGCCUGCCGCUCUAACCCUUGUUUUAAUGGAGGCAAUUGCGAGGAGACGGACACAGGAUUUACUUGUCUCUGAUUAGAUGGCUACCGUGGUAAAAGAUGUGCAGAAAGUAAGUGAGACAAAGGGAGGUGCAUGUUGUUGUUUUUUGUAUGAGGGUAGGCCGGGGGACCCUUUCACACUAUACUACUUAUAAAUACUACUACUACUUAUAAUAAUGAAUUUAUCUAGCGCAGUUUGUAUGAGUGGAGAAUGUAUUCCAUAAUGUGCGGAAUAGUUAUUUAAUCCGAUGACCGGGGUAAUAGUAAUUGUACGCGCUUUCGUACGUUAUAUAUGGUAAAGCGCUUUAUAAGAACCAGUUAAUAUCAUAAAUGUUAUUAUUGAUUGACAUGCCUUAUACAAAUAAAAGCAUGUGUCCAAUUAUAAAGCAAAGGACAUUAGUACUUGUUUUCCGUGUGUCUUAAUGUUAAUAUGCAACUGCUGACAGCUAUUCGAAUGUUAUACUAGCCCAGUAUACUGAAAGGACUGCAGUUGACUAAUAAUUAUUCCACUAUGCUGAAGAUACGGCAGUAGUUGAUUGUUGGUUAUGUGGAAAGUACUGUAAUAGUAGUAGCUUGAUGUAAUUAAUAAUAAUAAUAAUAAUAAUAAUAAUAAUAAUAAUAAUAUAGAGUAUUUGUAAUGCGCCAACUCCACAUGACUAAUGUGUUCGAGGCGCAUGGAGAAUUAGCAUACACAAGUGUAUUUAAAAUGAUGUUAAUUCAUCAAUGUUUUAUAACUGUUUGUAUUUCAUAAACUCAAUAAGUUGGGCUUUAUUUAAUAAUUGGUAUUACUUAUUCUAUAUAAUUAAAAGAAUUAAACUAACAGGAGAGGAAAAAGGAAAGGAACUAUUAAAAUGGUAUAUAUGAGGUUGAGACAAUGACUUUUGAUUUCAUAACUCAGAAAUGUGGUUCUGUUAGUUAUAUGGACUUGGUAAUUGAACAUUUCAUCAGUUUGUGUAGAAACGUUUAGAGCCAAAGUGUAAAGCGUAGUAAUUUUGUUGGAGUUGGCAUUUCCAGUUAAACACAAGUUUAACUAGAAAAUGCUAUGUUUUAUAAUUGAACAUUUUAUAUUGACAUUUCGGGAAUUUCACCCAAACAUGAAUGUAUAAAUUAGUAUGGUACGUUUGAUGGACAUUAAAGAGUUGAAAAUGAUUGCAUGAGCAAAAUUCAAUUAAUGGUUUUAAAAAAUUGGUAGAUGUAAGAGGUGUAGCGCCACCUCUUGUCGGAGACGGGAAGGGAUACAUUUAUUCAGACACAGAUGAUGUAUGGUGUGUUGAAAUUUAAUUGCUAUUUUAUCUUUUUUAUCAGAUGUGAAUUGAACUAAAUUAAAUUAAACUAAAUCAUCUUUAUUGCCUGAGGUGGUUUCAGUUCAAGAUACUGCAUAGAAUUCGUUAUAUGAAAGAUGCUUUGCUAAGAUUUAAAUUAGUGUAAAGAUAACCUAAUACCCCCUAAUACAUUCUGUAAUAACAGUGAAGAAACAAUUCUACAUAUAUUUUGUUACUUUAUUUAUUCAAACGAAAUAUGAUCAAAACUUGAGCAUUGACUGUUCCGUAAUAAUGUACAUAUUAAGUUUAAAAUGAAAAUAAAUUGUUUGGGUUUAAUGGAAGUAACUACGGUGCCCUCAACUGCAUUAUAAUUAUAGUAAAGAAAGAAACUUUUGCAGCCAAAUGCAAACAGUUAUUUGCCAGUUUUUUAACAUAUAAUAUUAGCGAUAAAGU